ensembl:lncRNA
CGAAAACGCAGCUUUUAUUUAAUAAAAAGAUGCACGAGGUUCCCUUUUCGUCCGUGAUGUUAAAGUUAAAGUCGGAUUUAAGGUUUAGACCAGAGUCGAUCGGCGGCGUUCAUAAUCAUUUCUGUGGAAUGUCCUCACGAGGAUAGUGCAAGUAGUACAAGGGCGUGGGUGUGUGCGUGUGCGUGUGCGUGUAAGUGUGCGUGCAAGUGUGUGUCAAUGAACAGAGGAAAAAAAACAGAUAGAGAAACAAUUAUUAAUUAUUUUGAGCAAGUCAAGGAGCACUUGAGUGACAGAUUAUUUCCGUGUGUGUGUGUGUGUGAAUGAAUAUCAGGAAUGAAUAAAUAGUAAAAUGCGACACAGCACUAUCAUCUCUCAGUGAUGUUGCCUUAAUGUCCUUGGUGCUUGAAUUCAUGAGAAGAAACUCCUUUAAAAAAUAAAAUCCUUUCCACACUAACCUGUUUGAAUCCUUUUCUUUUCACUGCCUCCGCUCGCUCCUGGCGUAGGUGUGUUUGUGUCACAGUGUUUGGCUACGUUCACAUUCCUGUGCUCCGGGGCUCGGCUGACAGCUCAUCAUCCGUUCACGAUCGGGUCAAGGUCCUGUUUUUACUCCUAUUGAAGGUUUCUCAGCUGCCGACGGACGAUGACGACGACGGCAGCGAUGUGCACGCGCGCAGCACGACGCCCUGAAUCUCUCAGCAUCACAGGGAUGAAGCAUUUCUACAGCGCUGUCGAAGGACUCGGAGCUUUGACUGAAGAAACCAGACCCGAUACCGUACCUUCGGACGAGGCCGAUUUUACGAGGCACAAAGCCCCGCCCCUAAACACCCAUCCGAAACAGGAGCGUAACAGAGGUGGUACGCAGUCUGCGAAGUGUGUAACAUCCAGCUGAACUCGGCCGCACAGGCGCAGAUACACUACAACGGGAAAACCCACCAGAAGAGACUGAAACACAUGAACAGCGGAAACAAAGGUAGGACGCACACGCGUUUGGGUUUGAGCGGCGAGCUAUACACAGCAUCGUAGGUUUUAAUCGCGGUGUCGGUGCAGAACUCAAAGCAUUUCCUACAUGAGGAGUGUUCAUUCGCUGCACAGCGUGAAGCACAGGUUUCACAUUUCACCUCAGUUUAGGAGGAGGAGACCGCCGCCUCCUGUUCGUUCCUGAUCAACACCUAGAAAACUAGUCUGUCCAGCUCAUGUCUGAGAGAAUGAAAUACAGAGCACGAUGGAUCGGUUCAUAAAAUCGACUCUUCCAUCAUGCAUCCCGAACCACAUGGUAUACUUGUUAGUUCAUGUCGCUAGUCAUGUUGUGUAUGAUUCCUCAGCGUCAAUCACAUAAAGUUACAAUGAGUGAAUUUAGAAGGGGCGGGGCAUGGUGGUUUAGUGGGUAGCAUGUUUGCUUCACACCUCCAGGGUUGUGGGUUCGAACCCCACCUCGACCUCGUGCGCGCGGAGCUCGCAUGUUCUCGCCGUGCUUCCGGGGUUUCCUCCGGGUGCUCCGGUUUCCCCCUCCGGUCCGAAGACACGCCAUUUCCAGAUGAUUUCCUGCGACGGAUUGGCAUCCCGUCCAGGGUGUCAGCCACCUGACAGUUUAUUAUUAUUUUAUUUAAAUUCUUGAUUCCUAAUUUAAGAAUUAUUGUAAGAUUUGAACCAUUUAUCACGCGUCAGUAAAGGUGGCUCUCAUUUUUUUUCUGCAUGCAAAUAUACCGUGUAUCUGGGUCGUCUGCGUUUCUGCGGUAUUCGUGUUCUUUUGCUGCUGUUCCACUGAGUCACUCAAAGCCGCUCGGUGCUGUCGAGGAACUAGUGGAGGUAGAGGUGGAGAGAUAUGCCCGUUUGUAUUUGACCUCCUACGCUAGUGCAAAAGCACUAGCACCAAAAUAUGUCUUCGUAGUUAGCGCGCGCCAUUCCUAAUAUUGACAUUAAAACAAAACAGGAAACUAUAUGACUGGAUUUGUAAAUCAUCAUGGGGUCGUGACCCCAGGAUUGGGAAGAAUCUCAUUUCAUUCAAAAUUUUUUAGAUGUCACGGUUGAAAUUGACACCCCCCCCGCAUAUUCCAUAUACAAUCAAUAUCGCAUGCUUCAGCCAUUUGUGUUGGGUGAAAUCUCACUAGCGGCCUAGCGGUCAUGCUAACACUAAAUACAAACGGAAGAAAUACACAUACUGUAAAGCCCGAAAACAUUAGAGACAGCAUUUUAAGUGCAUACAAGAUGCAGAUGCAUACAGGGUAUAUUCCUGCCUGUCCACAUGCAUGCAAAUGCCUGGGUUAGUUUAUAUUCUAACAUACACACACACACACACACAGCAGUCAGACCCACUUCAGGUGCAAGCUAUCAUACGAAUGGACCAUAAUUACAUAGCAACGGAACAUGUUCACCACGGAAACGCUUGGCAUGGAGACGGAGACGCCCCCCUCAGAAACCAGACUACUGACUGGCUGUUAAAGAGGAUGUGUUUCUCUCUGUCUGUCCCUCUCUCUCUGUGUGUGUGUGUGCGUGUGUGUGUGUGUGUGUGUCUCUCUCUCUCUCAUAUCCACCCAAGGACACAAAAGAUCAUUGAUUAGCCCUUUUGGCUGCUGUAAGACAUCAUGAUUGGAGUUAAAUUAAAGUAGGCAGCCCUCCCCGUGAGUAAACAGCAGUGCGGCAAGCCUUAAUACUAUACCACACACACACACACACACACACACACACACACACACAAUGUCUUUGCUGUUUGCUUCUCCUUGUCUCUCUCCUUUGUGAGGCAUCCAAUUUUGUAGCACUUAUUCAACUCUAGCUCAGACCUUUGCAGAGUAACACACACACACACACACACACACACACACACACACACACACACACACACACACACAGCUGCCCUAAAGAAUAAUUUCUGCCUGAAGCUAGGCAUGCACUGGGUGAUGGGUAAAACCGUAACAGAUUUUGAAACCGGACGUCUCUCUCACACAGAAUCUCGCCUCUUUUGGCUUAGAGACACAGAGAAAAAGUUUUGCUGUGACUCUAAAAUCUUAAACACUGAAGGAGUCAGCAUCGCUUAAAAUAAAGUGACGCUGGCCAGGAGACUCCUGCAAUUCAUCUCAGCCUUCCAGUCUGUUAUGUUUUAGGGUUUUUCGUUCUAGCGGUGGUUUGCUGUUGCUUGUUUUAAUAAUCAAUUGAAUCAACUUUUUUUUUUUUUUUUAUAAGUGUUUUUGGGAAGUGUUCUCGAGUGACACUGAAUGGCUUAAGACUUCUUACAUUCUUUUAGUGACACCAUUUUAAUAAACGUUAUACCAUUCUACUCUUAUAUCUUACAUCGGGGUUAGGCGAUAUAUCGAUAUCAUAUAUAUAUAUAUAUAUAUAAUAUUGUCAUAAAUGAUUCUGCG